GUUAAAUCGACAUUGCUGAGCGUUGUUUGGGGAUCCAUCAUAAUUAAAGUGUUCACCCUCUCUGGCAGUGUAGUUUGCCUUUACAUUAAGAUCAUGGCAUGUGCGUCAAAAUAAGAAGACCACUCAGGUUCCACAGUUUAGACGAAUUACAGUUACUAAAAUUCUCAUGUUAAAGGGACACUAUAGUCACCAAGACAUUUUUAGCUUAAUGAAGCAUAUUGGUGUAUAGAUCAUCCCCCUGUAGUCUCACUGCUCAAUUCUCUGCCAUUUAGCUGUUAAAUCACUUUGUUUACGCAGCCCUAGUCACACCUCCCUGCAAGUGACUUACACAACAUUUCUAAACACUUUGUUUAAAGAGUCAUCUAAUAUUAACACUUCAUUUAUUGCACAGUCUGAUUAAAGGAACACUCCAGGCUUCUGCCCACUGGAGUGGUCUGGGUGCCAACUCCCACUACCCUUAACCCUGCAACAGUUUUCACCCCUUCAGCAACCGGGGAUGGGUGGUGGGAGGGAGAGGGGACCUGCAGUGCCAGGAAAAUGGAUUGUUUUCCUGGCACUGGAGAGUCCCUUUAACUUAGAAUGUCUUGUCUUCUGCACUGUUAAUAGCUUACUAGAAGCUUGCAGGAGCCUCCUAUAUGUGCUUAAAGUUAAAUUUACA